GAGGUUUGCAUCGGCUGACCUUGGGUAAGGAUGGAAGAAAGGCAUUUUGGGAUCCUUUGUCACCGACAGCGGCGAUGACGUACCUAUAUAUAAACUUUCUCAUAUAUACAAGGCAUUUGAUGACCCAAAUAAGACCAUCAUGAUCAAUUGUGGUCCUCAUCUUUUGAUAAUCUAAUCUCUAAUGAUCUAUCUAGCAUCAUUAUGUGAAGUAUCAU
rnacentral:lncRNA from 1 species